UGCAUAUCUGGAAAUCAAUGACAUAGCUGGGCUUGUUAGAGGAGCAAGUGCAGGGGAGGGUCUGGGCAAUGCCUUCUUAUCCCAUAUACGUGCUGUUGAUGGAAUCUUUCAUGUCUUGAGUAUGUCUCUAUUGUAAAAUGUUUAUGAUUCAACUACUGAAUUAUGCUUCUUAAUAAAGUUCCCUUGGCUAUUCUUAUCUGUAUUAUAUACUGUAUGUUAAAAGUGAAAAUUUUGGAUAUCUUGGUGGAGAUCUAACUGAGAAGACUAAAUGUUGGCAUUGCAAAUAUUGGCAAUACCAAGACUUGCCAAAUAUUGGCAACUUUAUGUUUGAUAGACAAGAAAACUUGGUAACCAACUAAUCAGUAAUCAAUAUUUGGCACAAUGCCAAACAUUGGCAUGCCAAUUUUUGGCACCAAACCAGUUACGCUCUAGGUUUUAAUGUGAUAGAAUCUUUUGCUGUAUCUGUAACUGAUAGUGUGGUAUGGUUUUAGGAGCAUUUGAAGACACGGAAAUCACUCAUAUUGAUGAUACAGUUGAUCCUGUUCGUGAUUUGGAAACUAUUAGUCAAGAACUGAGGCUCAAGGUUUCGUUUGAGUUUUGCUUGAUUUGUUCGUCAACUUAAACAACUGUUAACCUAGCUGUAACAAGGUUUUCUGUUGCACUUCCUUCUGUAGGAUAUAGAGUUUGUGCAGGCUAAAAUUGAUGACCUUGAGAAGUCAAUGAAGAGGAGCAAUGACAAGCAACUUAAGAUAGACCAUGAAUUAUGUCAGAGGGUAGGGCAUGUUUUACAGCUCUGCUGUUUUGCACUUUUGUUUCAUUUCUAUCAAUCAGUUAGAUCUCAUGAACAAUUGGAAUUUCUUUACUGGUAUAUCGUUCUUUAUUCGGUAGAUCGAUCGGUAAUUUAGUUUCAACUUUCCCUUAUAACAGGUCAUGGCACAUCUCCAAGACGGGAAAGACGUACGUUUAGGAGAAUGGAAAGCUGCUGAAAUUGAGAUCUUGAAUGCCUUUCAGCUGCUUACUGCGAAGCCAGUUGUUUAUUUGGUAAUUUUUACUUAUUUGGAUUGGAAGAAUGGUAUCAUCUGAUUAAUAUGUACAGGCUUUGUUGCUUGAACUUUUUAUUAGCAAUGACAUCAUUUGAUUAAUUAUAGUUACAUGCUUGUUGCUUGAACUUCUUUACCAGCAUGGCCAUCUAGAAUUUAGUAUUUCCCCAUAUUUAAUGCGGAAUUUCAACCAAUGUGAUGUUUCUUAGGGUUCAAUCAAUGUGACAUUAACCCAGCUUUGCUUGUUUUGUCUGUUUUGUUAUUGCUGUCUGUCUACUUCUGCUUUCCAACAUUUAUUUUAAAACAUUACAGAACUGACGUGCGACUGGUAAUCGAUCUGCCAUACUCUUGGUAUUUGUAUAAUUAGCAAGAAGUGCAUGCUCCGUAGACAAUUAACUGAUUUUAGUCUGAUCACUGGAAACAUAACUACAAAAACUAUUGCAUGCUUCUUGGUAUUGCAUUAGAGUGGGGGAGCCUUUAUAGUUCCACAUGCCAAUUGUAUUCCACUGUAAGGCACUGCAAUUCUGUACUCCCUCCUUUCCUAAAUAUAAGUCUUUUUAGAGAUUCAACGCGGACUACAUACGGAGCAAAAUGAGUGAAUCUGCACUCUAAAAUAUGUCUAUAUACAUCAUAUGUAGUCCUUAUUGAAAUCUCUAAAAGGACUUAUAUUUAGGAACGGAGGGAGUAAUAGUUGAAGCAAUUGUUAAAGUUGCACCUCCAUGCGUGAGCAAGAACCAAAGUAUGCAAAGAGGUGCCAAAAUCCCAAGAUAUAUGAUGUUUCCAUAUGGAUUCUUCAUUCUUCCCUUUUUUGGGUUCAAAAGCCACAUCAGGAUCCCUAAUAGGAAUAUAGGGAUGGUGUGCUGUAGAAAGGGCUUGUGAAGAUUAGACAUUACUCACCGGUUGGCGAUGGAAAUGAAAUGGGAUGCAUUAAUCCUACUUGGAGAACCUACUGAUUUACGCGUUAUAUGAUGGUACAUAUACCUGCUGUGCAUGCAUCACUUGAAACUAAAUUUAUAUUAGCAGCAAGAGGAAAUAUGUCUUUGAUGUCUGGAAUUAUCCCACGUUCAGCUUGAGUAAUCAUGCGAAAUGGACAUUAAUCGCUCUGCUAACUUUAGCUCAUUUACUGGUUAAUCCUUUGAUUUGACCUUACUUCUGUCAGUAGUUGAAACAGAAAUUCACCUUUUCUUUAUAGGGCUUCUAAGUCUAGUAUGUUAUUUUGUGCAGGUGAACAUGAGUAAAAAGGACUACCUGAGGAAAAAGAACAAGUUUCUACCAAAGAUACAUGCUUGGUAUUGUUUCUACCCCAAGUCUAAUGGCUAUAGCAGAUGAACUCAUGCUAUACAGAAUGCAGUUCAAACUGCGAAUGCCGAUUUUCUGUGGAACUUCUGUUUAUGUACAGUCUAAUUGAUGUAGCAGGAUAGGUCAUUUUGAAGCUAGAUCGUUUCAAGUUUCCAUCAUUAUAUCUUGUUGUAUAUGAUAUUUGUUCCAACUUUGCUUGUUGAGUACAUAAGCUAUCUGAUUUAACACAUUGGGUUUAUUAUUUAAAAAUUGUUGUCACAGAGAGAACCAAUGUUUACGCUUGGACUUGGUGAUUUCUGUAUUUGAGGGUAGAAUAUCACACAAUUUGUUGAUCGCUUACAUAUGAAUACCAGCAAAUGUCAUUGGCAGUGAGUCAGGUCCCAGUGGUAUGUGUCAGCACUCGGCGCUAAGGAGUACUGUCAGCACUAAGCAGGAGUUUCUAUUCACGUGAACUAUACCCACUUGAACAAGAUAAGGACAGUAGGUCUUUUAGUUACAAAGUAUAUCUGUUUAGUUAGGAAAGGAGAUCAGUUUAGUUUGGAAGAUAAAUAUAUCGUUUUGAUUAGGAAAGUUGUGAUAUAUGCUUUCAGCAUCAAUUGAAGUCUUUCCUAUAAUAGGGGCACGACCAUAUCAAUUAAGCAUUGAACGAGAGGUUCGGUGAAGAUCUGAUCACCACCCUCAAACUUCCCUCCCUCACCGCUCGUACUCACCGUCUCAGUCCUAGAACCGACCCACCAUGAUACUGAUUGUAUUUUCUGAAGUAUGCUAUAGGCUCUUGUCCGCAGUAAGAAAUUGAUAUGUAGUUCAUAUGGUUGUGAUUUUGAUUAAGUCUGAUGAUUUUGUGUUUGAUUAGCAUAAACUUAAUAUGCAUAAUUUCCUACAAGAAGGGGGUAUUGGAAUAUUAGCUAAUACCUAACUAUUUCUUAUUCAGGGUGAAAGAACACGGUGGUGAGACUAUUAUUCCUUUCAGCUGUGCCUUCGAACAGAAACUAGUGGAUAUGCCAGAAGAUGAAGCUGCUAAAUAUUGCGCCGAAAACCAGACAGCAAGGCAAGUCAUGUAGCAUAAUUUUGGCUGAGUUGAUUACCACAAUUAAGAUACUACUUUUGUACCGAAAUAUAAGACGUUUUUGUAGUCUAAACUAGCAAUCAAGUUUAUUUAUUUAUAACAUGCAUUGCAUCUUCUCUUUGCAUAUUGCUCAACUUUUUCUGUUUAAUUUAUUUAUACUAAAUCUUUCACCAAUGUGAACAGUUUGAUCCCCAAAAUCAUCAAGACUGGUUUUGCAGCAAUUCAUCUCAUAUACUUCUUCACAGCUGGUCACGACGAGGUACAUUUUAUAUGUUUACAUUGUGCUUACUUUGUACCAGUAAUAUGUGUUGUAUAAGCCACAUUUUACUUCAUUUUGCUAAAAUGGUGGUACUACAUCAGCCUGUUACAUUUUUGGCGUGCAAAAUUCACAUGCUUGUUUGUUUAUACAUUAUCAGUCUUUAUUGGUUAUUGCCUCUGCUCCAAAAUAAGGGGCACAAUCAAACUUCUAACUUCCACAAUCAAUAUGUAAAGAAUUUAAUGAGAUUUGACAAAUGGAAAUAAUAUCAUUUUUUUCGUAAUUCUGUUUUUUACUAACACAUCAAUAAUAAUGGUCAAAAUUGCAUCUUGUUGGCUGGUUAUGUUCUAAUCGGGGAGGAAUGUAUUAGGUUGUUCAGAUGUCUGUUCGUGUUUGAAGUUUCAAGUAGGAGUUUCUGAAUACAUUUGACAAUUUUCUGCUAGCUUAUAAGCUUGAAUUCUCCUUUCAGGUGAAGUGCUGGCAGAUCAGACGUCAAUCUAAAGCUCCGCAAGCUGCUGGUGCAAUUCACACUGAUUUUGAAAGAGGCUUCAUAUGUGCUGAGGUAGAGUCCUUUCUGAAAUAGCUAGACACAAUUCCUUUAUUUGGAAUAAAUUGAACUUUAGUUGACAGUGUAGUUAAUUGUUGCUGUUCUUACUAUUUGCAUUUUGUAGUUAAUUGUUGCAUGUUUUUCUGAAAAAAUCUCGAUGUUUACUGAAGCUUCUUUCAUUAUGUUAACUUGAUGUAUUCCUUGAUAAUUCUUAUAUAUAAAUCUACUCUUUUUGAUCAGGUAAUGAAGUUUGAAGAUCUAAAAGAGCUGGGCAGUGAAUCUGCUGUCAAGGUGUGCACAAACUCGUCUAUGCUAGAUGAUUUGUAUCAUCAGUUGCCUUACUUUUGAUCUUUAAACUCAAUGUUAUGAGUUACGCAACCGUUUGGCAUUGAUGGAUUGUAGGCUGCUGGGAAGUACAGGCAGGAAGGGAAGACGUACGUGGUGCAGGAUGGAGACAUCAUCUUCUUCAAGUUCAAUGUUUCUGGAGGCGGAAAGAAGUGAUGAAUUCAUCACAGGGUCGUGUAUUUUAGCAUUUUUGGGUUCACUUGCAAGUAGCCAGGUACUAUCAGUACUGAUUGCAGACUGCGGGGAGACUAUAAGCACCAACUGGAAGGGAUGAAAAAUAUAAUUUUUCAUUCGUGAGCUAGAACUGCUCUGCUCUAUCGGAAAACUGGAAGUUGUAACGGUGUGACUGGACAACUUUGUCGUAAUUAGGAUGCAAAGUUCUUUGUUAUGCAAUUCUACCGUUGUUGCAUGUGUAGCUCCAU
rnacentral:lncRNA from 1 species